rnacentral:rRNA from 1 species
AUUGAACGCUGGCGGCAGGCCUAACACAUGCAAGUCGAACGGUAGCACAGAGAGCUUGCUCUUGGGUGACGAGUGGCGGACGGGUGAGUAAUGUCUGGGAAACUGCCCGAUGGAGGGGGAUAACUACUGGAAACGGUAGCUAAUACCGCAUAACGUCGCAAGACCAAAGUGGGGGGACCUUCGGGCCUCACAUCAUCGGAUGUGCCCAGAUGGGAUUAGCUGGUUGGUG